rnacentral:lncRNA from 1 species
UAUUUAAAUGGUAGAUAUGAAAUAAAUGAUAGUUUAGUGACUUGAAGGUGAAGAAUCAGAACCUGAGUUAUUUAAAUCUGUUACUUUAUGUGCCCUCUUAGAGAUUUUAUUUGUGUUAAAAAUUUAAAACAGUAAAACAAAGUGUGAAUUCUGAGGCACAAUAUUUUUGUUUGGUAUGCAUGGUGCAGUUCAUGUAAAAAUGGGAGAUAUUAAUCCCAAAUCGUUACUUGUCUCUUUUAUAAUCAUUCUCUGAAUCUUUAUGGUGUUCACACUUUCAGAAGUGUUUUUAAUGUGUGACAUUUGUUCAAACUUUGUUAAAAAAAUUAUCCAUUCAGU